CCUCCUGUGGCACAGUUUGAGGCUGUUACCUCUUGUCCUGUUGCUUGUUACUUGGGAGAAGAGACUGACCCCCACCUCACUACAACCUCCUUUCAGGUAGUUGUAGAAAGCGAUAGAGAGCACUUCAGCACCUCAGUGUCUUUCCCGUAGCAGGGGUACAGAACUGAAUGCUGAAUGAGGGGCUGAGUCAGGAUUUCAAAUGCCAAGUUGCACAGGGAGAAACUGAAAUACCUUCCAUCAGAAAAUAGUGUGAAUUGAGCAUUACUGAGUUAAUGACCUGGAAAGCAUCUUUCACAAGUGCCUUGAGGAUAAGUGCACCAUUUAUUGAUCCUUCUCGGACUGGUAUUUUUCAAUUAAGACAAUAUUGAACUACAACUCAUGUGAUUUCAGAAGCAAUCCCAAGUGAACCGUUGAUGAUGCUCAGAGGACUGCACUUUUAAAGCACUUCUGCCUAUCCACACUUGGAUCCACUGAGCAGAGCCACUGCUGGUGUCGGGUAUACCCAUGAAUUAAGUGACCAGACAGUGAAAAUGACAGCUGUAGUGACGUGAAUUGCUAAGAGAAAAAUGUUAGCACAUACUGUCUGCAGCCUUAUUAGGGGAUAAUGAAAUCACAUUCCCAUUGACUCCACUGAGAUGUCACUUUCAAUUUCCAGUGCUCCCUACACAAAACCGCAUGGCUAGCUGAUAAGACUGAGAUUAUACUUGCCACCAGUAAAUGCCUCUGCCAGCAUGGCUCACUCAUGUAAUUUGGCUUUCCUUUGCUUGGGUUUUAAGUCCAAGCUGCUGUUUCCAGGCUUGUUGUUUGAUUUGGGUUCUUUCAGUAGGUGUUGUUUUUGGGGUUUUUUUUUUUCACUCUUCAGGCAGGAGCUCUUAAAAAAUUUGAGAUUCAGUCAGAGAACUGUUCUGCUGAGUUGAUUGAUCUCCCCCCGCUGAGGGGGAAUACACCUCUUCUUUGUAGAAAAAAAC